UACGGAGGAUGCGAGCGUUAUCCGGAUUUAUUGGGUUUAAAGGGUGCGUAGGCGGGAUGCCAGGUCAGCGGUAAAAAUGUGGUGCUCAACGCCGUCGAGCCGUUGAAACUGGCGUUCUUGAGUGGGCGAGAAGUAUGCGGAAUGCGUGGUGUAGCGGUGAAAUGCAUAGAUAUCACGCGGAACUCCGAUUGCGAAGGCAGCAUACCGGCGCCCUACUGACGCUGAGGCACGAAAGCGUGGGUAUCGAACAGG
rnacentral:rRNA from 1 species